rnacentral:rRNA from 5 species
UAGUGGCGAACGGGUGAGUAACACGUGGGCAAUCUGCCCUUCACUCUGGGACAAGCCCUGGAAACGGGGUCUAAUACCGGAUAAUACUUUCUCCUGCAUGGGGGAGGGUUGAAAGCUCCGGCGGUGAAGGAUGAGCCCGCGGCCUAUCAGCUUGUUGGUGGGGUGAUGGCCUACCAAGGCGACGACGGGUAGCCGGCCUGAGAGGGCGACCGGCCACACUGGGACUGAGACACGGCCCAGACUCCUACGGGAGGCAGCAGUGGGGAAUAUUGCACAAUGGGCGGAAGCCUGAUGCAGCGACGCCGCGUGAGGGAUGACGGCCUUCGGGUUGUAAACCUCUUUCAGCAGGGAAGAAGCGUGAGUGACGGUACCUGCAGAAGAAGCGCCGGCUAACUACGUGCCAGCAGCCGCGGUAAUACGUAGGGCGCAAGCGUUGUCCGGAAUUAUUGGGCGUAAAGAGCUCGUAGGCGGCUUGUCGCGUCGGAUGUGAAAGCCCGGGGCUUAACCCCGGGUCUGCAUUCGAUACGGGCAGGCUAGAGUGUGGUAGGGGAGAUCGGAAUUCCU